AAAGCCUGAUGCAGCUAUGCCGCGUGUAUGAAGAAGGCCUUAGGGUUGUAAAGUACUUUCAAUAAGGAAGAAGCAAUAAAAUCUAAUAUAUUUUAUUGUUGACGUUACUUAUAAAAGAAGCACCGGCUAACUCCGUGCCAGCAGCCGCGGUAAUACGGAGGGUGCUAGCGUUAAUCGGAAUUACUGGGCGUAAAGAGCACGUAGGCGGUUUAUUAAGUCAGAUGUGAAAUCCCUAAGCUUAACUUAGGAACUGCAUUUGAAACUAAUUUACUUGAGUAUCAUAGAGGGGAGUAGAAUUCCAGGUGUAGCGGUGAAAUGCGUAGAUAUCUGGAGGAAUACCAGUGGCGAAGGCGACUCCCUGGAUGAAUACUGACGCUCAGGUGCGAAAGCAUGGGGAGCAAACAGGAUUAGAUACCCUGGUAGUCCAUUGCUGUAAACGAUGUCGACUUGGAGGUUGUGAGCUUGUCUUGUAGCUUCCGUAGCUAACGCGUUAAGUCGACCGCCUGGGGAGUACGACCGCAAGGUUAAAACUCAAAUGAAUUGACGGGGGCCCGCACAAGCGGUGGAGCAUGUGGUUUAAUUCGAUGCAACGCGAAGAACCUUACCUGGUCUUGACAUCCAUGGAAUUUAAUAGAGAUAUUUUAGUGCCUUCGGGAACCAUGAGACAGGUGCUGCAUGGCUGUCGUCAGCUCGUGUUGUGAAAUGUUGGGUUAAGUCCCGCAACGAGCGCAACCCUUGUCCUUUGUUGCCAACGGUUUGGCCGGGAACUCAAAGGAGACUGCUGGUGAUAAGCCGGAGGAAGGUGGGGAUGACGUCAAGUCAUCAUGGCCCUUACGACCAGGGCUACACACGUGCUACAAUGGUAUAUACAAAGGGCAGCAUCCUCGCAAGAGUAAGCGAAUCUCAUAAAAUAUAUCUUAGUUCGGAUUGGAGUCUGCAACUCGACUCUAUGAAGUCGGAAUCGCUAGUAAUCGUAGAUCAGAAUGCUACGGUGAAUACGUUCCCGGGCCUUGUACACACCGCCCGUCACACCAUGGAAGUGAGUUGUAAAAGAAGUAAGUUGUUUAACCAUAAAAGGAGAA
rnacentral:rRNA from 1 species